rnacentral:lncRNA from 1 species
CCGACCAUAGAGAAUUGGAGUCCGUCGAUCAGAACUUAAGAGAUUCUAGUGAUACUGUAAUGUCUUUGUCAUCUCUUACAGUUUCUUACUUUCCUUCCUUUUGUCAUAGAAUCAACAGAGAAACAAUUUCUUUCUUUUUGCAUAAGAAAGUAUGAUAAUAUUAAAAUAGAUUGAGCUUUGAGUUACUAAUUAUAGAUUUUAACACUAUCAUAUGCUUCAGAUCCUAUUUUUCAGCGAACAAUCAUUACAUUAUUGAUUUGAUUCAUGGUAUUAUGAAAUUGAAAGUCAAGCCAUGUUUACCUGUGUGGUAGACUAUUCUGUUUGUUGGCAUUGUUUGAUGGCACCUAACCUCUUUGCAAACAUGGAAACCAUUGCCUCUGAAUCUCUCAAUCUCGAAAAAGGCGUAACAUUGUUAAACUUAUGCUUAGAUAUGUCCUCAUUGUUUCCCUUCUCAUCUUUAAGACCAAUGGAAGAAGAAGCCUCUUUGUUGAUAAAACAAUUCUGUAACUUUUUAGUCUCAAUGACCAAUUGGUUAUCAGCAUAUUGUUCUUUAGUCUCUUCAACCUUGCAUUCAUUCAAAUGAGAAAUUGGUGAGUAUAAUGUCAUUCCUUCUUUCUCCUUACUAAUCUCUAUGUUGUAAAAAAAUUCAUUCUUCAAUGUGUCAUUUUUCAGUGUUCGUGGCUAUUGAGAAAAAUUUAAUAGGCCUAACCUGAGGAUGUAAAGAAGAACACCAUCUGCAGAGGCUAUUGCUUGAAGACUCUCCUACUUGAUGAGACAUUCUUGUUCCAACAUUCUCAAAACACUGACAAUAAGUGGACUGAAAAUUGGAUUUGAAUGAAUUUUUAAGCUCCGGAGAUUGACCCUUGUAAGGCCAUCGAAGGUGGCGAUCAGGAUUUUCGUGAGCAAGAGCCAAAGACUUCUCCUCAUCUUGACUAGAUUGUGAGUAUCCUUUAGUCAUGUUAGAAACCAAGUUCAUGAAUGAGCUAUGAUGAUUAACAUAGGAUUUAGAAUAUGAUGAAGUUUCUUGAAUUUGCAUUUUGACUCUUUUACUCCCGAUUAUCACUUCUUGUUUGGAUCGCUUCCUACUUGCCAAAAACAAUCCAGUAUUUUGAUAGUUUUCAAAACUUAGAUGACUCUCAUUCUUAUUGUAUGGUAGCAUCGUCUCAUUCACCUUGGAUUCGUUUUUGUUAUCGUUGGAUUUUGAAACAAGAAUUCUGCUUGUUGCUGCAGAAAUAGCUGCUUUACAGCUGAAAGUUUGUAAGUCUUUCUGUGAAGUUAGAUCCAUUUUUUCCGAAUGAUUAAUGCCGGAUGAUAUCAAAUAUGUUCCUAGAGGAUUAGAACCUUUAUCUUCAAUCAUGUGUUCAACUCUAUUAUAUGAGCCAUCUUCUAUUUCAACCACCAUGUUGUCAACACUAGUGUCGAAGCAUUCUUUGUAAUGUUUCCUUGGAGAAGGAUUUUGUUCCAUGCUAAGUUUAGACCCAUCUUGAUGAACUUGUGAAUUACCAACUGGACUUUGGUUGAUCUGACCUGAAGAAAGUCAUGAUUCAGAUGAUAUUUUAGAUAUACAAAAUAGAAUGGACUCGCAAUUUUCUUUAAAAAUUAAUAACUUCAGCAAGUUACUAGAAUGCACUGUUGCAUAACCGGACAUGACACUGAUAUGUAGACACAGUAAUAACUUAAGAAAAUGAGAGUGAUUAAAUGUAACCACAUGUGUCAGGGUCGGAUACAGACAUGUGUCACCGUACAUGCAUUUGAUAUUCAGUGUUGGAUUUAUUUUCCAUGAUUGAGGAAAAUUUGUAUAAAAUUGUGUACAAAUAUCAAUAAUUGUAGAAUGUGUUCCAAAUCAUGACAGUAUCAUAAAAUGGCAAAAAUCUACCCAAAAAAUCAAUUAUGACAGAAAAUACCUGAAAUAGUAGAAGAUUUGUUUUCCUCUUCCAUUAUCUCAGAUAUUUUAGCUGCUUCAAUUUCAACGCAGGCUUGAGCACAAAUAUUCUUCUCCCAAUGGUUCAUUAAAUUCUCCUUUUGACCAUUUGCCAAAUCAGAUGUUCCUCCAACAGAGUUAAUUUUCUCCAAAUUAUCACCAGAUCCUGGCAGAUCAACAUCAUGAUUGUGCAAAAAAGGUUUUAAUAAAUUGGAGAAAGAAAAAAUUGUUAUUAAUUAAAGUGGCACUAGUGGUCAUUUUUCAACCUUCCCCGAGGGAUUUGAAUUUUGUCCCUUCAGGUUACACGACCAAGCUCUUACCAUUGAGCUGACACCUCGUGACAAAGUAAAUACUUCAAUAAUGUAUACUUGACUUCAAAGUUCUUCCUGCAAACUCACAUUUCCCUACAUCUGUGGGAUCCAUAUAGGGAUGUUAUAUUUACCUGUAUCAUGUUCUUGAUAUGGCGUAUAUUCUGGAAAGAUGGCAACUGAAUCGCUUCUUGAAUUCCUAGCAGGAGUAUCUGUUGAAGAAACAUCACUCUUUGCGCAUAUAACAGCAAGAGGUUGCACCAAAACAUCUUCUACAGGUUUAUCUGUGGCACAAGUAACACUUUGUAGCAGAGCAAGAACCAUACUACUAGGUUCAACAUCGCGCAAAAGCGAGGUAUUUUUGUUAGUAAAACUUGAAUCAACACAUUUAAGACUGAAACCUUUAUCUGGAGUCCAAACUAUUUCAGAUAGAGGAUCAUUGGCAGAAAAGAUUGUGUUUGCUCUAGAAGCUGCAUUUGCACCUGCACUUGACUCAGUUUGCAAUUUUUCCUUAUGGC